AUGCAAGUCGAGGGGUAACAGGGAGUGCUUGCACUCUGCUGACGACCGGCGCACGGGUGCGUAACGCGUAUGCAACCUACCUUUUACAGGGGGAUAGUCAAGAGAAAUUUUGAAUAAUACCCCAUACGAUCCUGAUAUCACCUGAUAUUUGGAAGAAAACUUCGGUGGUAAAAGAUGGGCAUGCGUCCUAUUAGUUAGUUGGUGAGGUAACGGCUCACCAAGACAGCGAUAGGUAGGGGUCCUGAGAGGGAGAUCCCCCACACUGGUACUGAGACACGGACCAGACUCCUACGGGAGGCAGCAGUGAGGAAUAUUGGACAAUGGAGGCAACUCUGAUCCAGCCAUGCCGCGUGCAGGAAGACUGCCCUAUGGGUUGUAAACUGCUUUUAUACAGGAAGAAACCUACUUACGUGUAAGUAGCUGACGGUACUGUACGAAUAAGGAUCGGCUAACUCCGUGCCAGCAGCCGCGGUAAUACGGAGGAUCCAAGCGUUAUCCGGAAUUAUUGGGUUUAAAGGGUCCGCAGGUGGUUUGCUAAGUCAGAGGUGAAAUCCUACCGCUUAACGGUAGCACUGCCUUUGAUACUGGCAAACUUGAGUUAUUGUGAAGUAGUUAGAAUGUGUAGUGUAGCGGUGAAAUGCAUAGAUAUUACACAGAAUACCGAUUGCGAAGGCAGAUUACUAACAAUAUACUGACACUGAGGGACGAAAGCGUGGGUAGCGAACAGGAUUAGAUACCCAGGUAGUCCACGCCGUAAACGAUGGUCACUAGCUGUUUGACUAACAUUGGUUAGUUGA
rnacentral:rRNA from 1 species